AACGAACGCUGGCGGCACGUUUUAAGCAUGCAAGUCGAAUGGCAGCAGGGGCAACUCUGUGAGAAUGGCGAACGGGUGAGUAACACGUAGGUGAUCUGCCUUGAGGAUGGGGAUAGCCUGUGGAAACACAGGGUAAUACCGAAUAAGCUGACGGGACUUUGGUUUUGUUAGUAAAGGUGCUACGGCACCGCCUUGAGAGGAGCCUGCGGCUGAUUAGCUAGUUGGUGGGGUAAAGGCCUACCGAGGCGACGAUCAGUAGCCGGCCUGAGAGGGGGUACGGCCACACUGGGACUGAGACACGGCCCAGACUCCUACGGGAGGCAGCAGCUAAGAAUCUUCCGCAAUGGGCGAAAGCCUGACGGAGCGAUGCCGCGUGAUCGAUGAAGGUCGAGAGAUUGUAAAGAUCUUUUCUACAUGAGGAAUAAGUCUGGGAGGGAAUGCCUGGAUGAUGACGUUAGUGUAGGAAUAAGCCCCGGCUAAUUACGUGCCAGCCGCCGCCGUAA
rnacentral:rRNA from 1 species